GGUAGGAAAACAGUUCCUCGUGGACAGCAGAGCCGCCUGCUCUGUCCUGACCCAGCCUAUUUGCCCCCUCUCCAAUUGCAAUCGCAGGAUAAUGGGAAUAGACAGGUGUCCUAAGGUAAGAAAACUUACUUUCCCUCUUGCUUGUGAGGCCAUGUCUAGGCUUUUUUCUCCUCAUUUCUGUAUGCCUCCCAGAAUGUCCUACUCCAUUGCUGGGUAGAGACUUAUUAAGCAAAAUGGGAGCCACCAUCUCCCUGGAAGAGGACAGACUGCAAGUAGAGGCAGAGCUAGAACAGGGGAUCCACCUGCUAGCACUCUUAAAUGGACAGGAACUUAAGACCCAAAACAUACCCAAAGGAAGCAAGGAUCACGCCACCCCUUCCCUAUCGAUGGGACACUUCAGUCCUAGGACAGGCUAAUAAAGCUCCCCAAGUAAAGACAGACCUGAAGCCUGGGAUGGGCUACCCAUGGAGGAAAUCGUACCUCCUAAAACCUGUGGCACUGAAUGGGGUUCAGCCAUUACUCCACAAAUUCCUAUAGCAAGGGCUAAACCCUGCCAGUCCCCAGGCAACACCUCGGUCCUCCCUGUUAAAAAGCCUAAUGGAGGAUAUCAGUUUGUGUAGGACUUGAAGGGGGGUAAUGAGGCAGUCAUUCCCAUCCACCCAACAUUGGUCUCAAGCUUGUCUGUACUCAGAUACCUGGAGAUGCUCAGUUUUUCACUCUACUACACUUCAAGGAUGCUUUCUUUUGUGUAGUCCUCUUCACCCAGAAUCCCUGUAUCUUUUUGCUUUGAAUGGAGAAAUCCCUGAUAACCCAGAAAGCCACAUAGUACACAUGGACUAUGCUUCCCCAGGGCUUCCGGGAAGGCCCCCACCUUUUUGGGAAUGCAGGGAGCUAAGCCUACAGAAUGGGACUUUUAUUACAACAUGUGGAUGACUUGUUCAUUGUCAGCCAGACAUGGCAGGAUUCAGAUUUUAAUAUCAUUAAAACCUUGAAUUUCCUGGCUGAGCAGUGAUACAAGGUCAGCCCCAUCCAAGGCCCAGAUUUCUUUACAGAAGUUCUGAUAUCUGGGGUUCAUUCUGACCCCAGGAGCCCGAACACUAGCUGUGGACUGGAAAAAGCAAUCAGUUCAUUGCUGGUCCCACAAACAGAAAGGCAGCCCCAGGGUUUCUUGGGAAUGGUGGGUUUCUAUAGCAUUUGGAUUCCAAAUUAUGGCCUGAUGGCUAAAUCCCUAUGUGAGACCCUAAAAGGGGAAGAAAGAGAGCCCUUGUACUGGGAAAAGAAAUGUCAACAAUCUUUUGAACCCCUACAAACUGAGCUGGGUCAAGCCCUCGUCCUUGGACUCCCUAACUGAGAAAAACCACUUACCUUGUAUGUUUGUGAGAGACUAGGAAUAGCUUUGGGAGUCUUAAUUCAAAGGUUAGGACCUGUUCGAAGCCAGUGGCUCAUUUUUCAAAACAGAUAAAUCCAGUUGCACAGAAGUGGCCUGGCUGCUGGAGGGCAGUGGCAGCUACUGCCCUGCUGUUUAGUGAAGCAUCUAAGCUGACACAGGGACAAUAUACAGAAGCUAUGACUCCCCACUAGGUUCAGACUGGGUUAGAAGUCAAGGGACACCAUUGGCUCACUGCAGGGAGGCUGACCAACUAUCAAGCUCUCUUAUUAGACACCCUAGAUAUUACUUUGAGGGUAUGUCAGACUUUGAACACGGCAACCUCACUCCCAACCACAGAUGAUGAGGACUCACAGCAUCAAUGCACAGGGCCCACAGAACAGACUCCAGCAGGCCUGGCUUGUGAGAUAAGCAUCUUGAGAAUGCAAAGACAGAAUGAUAUCCUGAUGGCAGCAGCUUUGUGGAGGGAGACCCAAAAGGCAGGACAUGCAGUAGUAAGCCCGAAGGAGACUACAGAAACUAAAGCCCUUCCUCCCCAAAAUGGCACAAAAAGCAGCACUAAAGGCCUUAACAGAGCCUCACAACUGGGAGAAAGGGAGGGAAUAAAUUUAUACACCAACUCAAAGUAUGUUUCUCCUGCUGUGUGCCCAUGCAGCCAUAUGGAAGGAAAAGGGAAUGUUAACAGUUAAAAAUUCCCAAGGCAAACUUCUUCCAAUCCUCCAAUCCAGCUUCUCCUGGAAGCGGCACAACUUCCCUGCCAGGUGGCAGUCAUUCACUGCAAAGGCCACCAGAGGGACUGGUCCCUCAUCAGCCAAGGAAAUAGGACCACAAAACAGGCAGCCUGAUUAUAGGAACCCAACAAUGUGUUGGCCUUAAUGACAGACCCUACCAACCUUCCUAAUCACUUACAAUAUUCACAACAAGAGCAAGAGGAAGCUAAGAGGCAGGGGUACCAGGAAAACAGUGCUGGACGGUUCACAGAUGGUGACAAGUUUUAUUCCAGGAACUGACCAGUGGAAACCCAUUAAGCAUCUCCAUGAUGCCACUCAUUAAUGGAGAGAUGUUUUAUGGAAUUCUGUCCAUAAAAUAUUCACCAGAAAGAAACUGAGAAAAACUGUAAAACAAGUAACCUUUGCCAGUGAAUUGUGUACCUGGAAUAAUGCCCAAACCCAUCCAAUUCCCCCUUCUUGACUUAAACUGGUUCAACACAGGGGAACUUAUCUGGGAGAAGACUGGCAGGUAGUUUUAACCCAAAUGCCUCCAAAUCUAGGGUACAAAUAUCUCCUGGUGUUUGUGGAUACUUUUACUGGAUGGGUCAAGACUUUCCCUACCUAUACAGAAAAAGCAGUAGAAGUCUGUAAAUCUUCACUAAAGUAAUUCCUCAAUUUGGACUCCCCAAGUCCCCUCAGAGUGGUAACAGGCUCUCCCCUUCAUGGCUAAGAUUACUCAGAGCCUCUCCACAACCCUAGGAAUAGAUUAUGAACUGGCACCCCAAUCAUCGGGGAAAGUUAAGAUGAACUAUACACUUGAGACGACUCUAGCCAAACUUUUUCAGGAGACGCACAAGCCCUGGGUUAAGAUGCUCCCAAGUCUUCUUAGGGUCUGCAGGGCCCCUUCGUGCAGCCUAAGACUUAGUUCUUCUGAGAUGAUCUACCAGAGGCCUUUCCUCACCAUUGACCUCCUGUUAGGUGAAGAAUUACAUAAAAAAUUACAGUAUCGAUUUAGGACAGAUUCAAAAGGCGACUUCAGAGUAUGGAAACAAAAUCCUGCCAGUCCCCACUAAGGAUGGGAAAACCCCUUUACAAGUUAAUCCAGGUGACCAAGUCCUCCUAAAGACUCGAAGGGCAGGCUCCCCGGAGCACCACCCCUUGCCUAAAUGGGAGGGCCCUUACUGGGUGAUCCUGACCACUCCAACUGCAGCCAACUCACAAGGAAUCACUAGCUGGGUACACCUCUCCCAAUCAGAAAUGCUUUCUCCUAAAUGUUUCCAGACUCGCCCAGAAGGCCCAUCUUACUCCUGAAAACCCGUGGAAGACCUCAAAUUCAGGAGAGCCAAUUCAUCAUUGGAGAAGUAAUGUGAUUAGAGAUCUUGAGUCCAAUACUUUUCCUUAUAUUACUAAUUGUUUUACCAUUAUUCUGUCACUUUGCUCAGCCUCCUCCCUCAGGUAAAGACUUUGUUUGUCCCUGCUGGGUAUAAAGAUGCUACUCUACUUUGUUCCUACUCCUCCCCAUCAGGGCACAGGGUAGGCUGGGCCUACUAAGAUAAGAAACAAACUCUCUUCACAACCUUUCCGGCAUUAUAGCUUCAGGUAAUAUUCUGUCCAACUGCUGGGUGUGCUACCAUCAUCCCCAGGCUCAGAGGGGCUGCCUCUUGCACUCCCUAAAAGUUCAACUACCAACUUCACAAAGGAGGUAUGGAAACCUAAAAUAACCUCUGCACCUCUUAUGGUGGACCUAAGUGUCUCCCUUUCCUUUGAAUGUAUAAAGCUCAUUGGGUUGCUAAAUGCUUUGGUCACCGAAAAGGGUGGAAAAAAGAGAAGUUGGACCGCCUACUUUGAAAUCCCACCAGGUUUUCUCUUAGCAGUGAAGAAAAACCCUAAUCAAACUUGGGCUCAGGAAGGCUAUCUUUUCCCCCAUGCCAAAACAGUCAUACCUCUCUCCAAAGCUUAGCUGCUCACCUGAACUCCUCUCACCUUGUGUAAGUUUGUGCACCCAUGGGGUAUUCUGUUCCUUUGUGGACACCCAGACUGCCAUCUGAUCAACAGCUACCCCUCAGCCAAUUUCACCUCUCCAUUACUUGCACUAGCGUGCCCUUGUGUGGAUAAUGUACAACGCAAUGAGGAAUGCAUGUUAGGUACUUUAAGUCCCAGUGGAAUAACAGUUCAUAAUAUCACACAUGGGAAAUCUAAAAGGGCAAUAGGGCUAAUUUUGGCAGGAGUUGGAAUAGUCCCUUGGGGUGGCUCUGCACCUUAGCAGCCCCUUGGGAUGGCUUUGCAUACUGUGAGGCAGCUUUGAGAAACUUUCAAACCCUUGAAACACUGGCAACUAGUACAGGCAGAGCCACAAAAGGACAUCAAGCCUCCCUGCACUCCCUAGCCAAUGCUGUCUUAGACAACAGAUUUGCCCUGGACUAUCUUCUCGCUGAACAAGGGCAGGUAUGUGCAGUAAUAAACCACAUCUGUUGUUCUUACAUUAACAGUUCAGGACUGGUUAAACUGCAAGUUCAAAAGAUGUACCAAGACUGGGCACAAUGGCUCAUGCCUGUAAUCCCAGCACUUUGGGAGGCCAAGGUGAGUGGAUCGUUUGGGCCUAAGAGUUCGAGACCAGCCGGGCAACAUGGCUAAACCCCAUCUCUACAAAAUUACAAAAAAAGAAAAAAAAUUAGGUGGUCUUGGUGGCAUGUGCCUUUAUUCCCAGCUACUCAGGAGGCUGAGGUGGGAGGAUCGCCUGAACCCAGAAGGUUGAGGCUGCAGUGAGCCAUGAUGGCACCACUGCACUCCUACCUAGAUGACAGAGUGAGACCCUGUCUCCAAAAGAAAAUAAAAGUAAAGAUUUACCAAGAGGCUACCUGGCUACAUAAUCUUAAUAACUCCACUGCUCAAACCAUCUGGGGCUCCCUCAGUGGAAACCUACAAAAUAUGACAUGGUUUUUACCUUUCUUCGGACCUAAGUGGUCAUUUAAUUGCUAUUACUUUUGGGGUAUUGUGUUUUUAACCUUUUUGUAAAGUUUGUGUCUUUCACGUUUCAAUAGCUCCAAGUCAAGCUAAUGAUGGCCCAAGGAUUCCAACCCAUACCAUCCCAGGAGCACCCCAGUCCCUACAGGUCUUUAGGAUAGUCAGUGAGAGACUUCCCCACCCCCCAAAGUUAGGCAGGGACAACAUCCCUGUUCAGCAGGAAGUAGCUUCAGAAGAUGAGAUCUUCAGCCCUUUCUCCUUAAGAAUAGAGGGUGAAAUCUCUCAGGGGGAAAUAAAGAUAGAACAGAAAUGGAAUGGGGUUGCUUCUUCAUAAUACUUAACCAUGCCUUCUACUUAAAGUUCCAGGAACUGGCCUUAGGAAAUCUAAGUAUGAAACCAAGGUUAUGGAGUAUCCCACCUCAGGAAGGAACACUGAACAACUGAUUGACAGUCUUCUUGCCGCCAGCCAGACCACCAAGUGGCCCAUUAACCAAGAGAACCAGCGCAACCAGAUACGCUGACCCGCAUCUCCUACCCCUCAUGUGCUUUGCCCAGCCCAGCCUGCAUACCUUACUCAUGAUGUCAAUUCCCACACUUCGCUAAUAAAAACAUCCCUGCAAGCCUCUUCAGGGAGCC
rnacentral:antisense_RNA from 1 species